CAAUAGCGUAUAUUUAAGUUGUUGCAGUUAAAAAGCUCGUAGUUGGAUUUUGGGUCGGGGGCACCGGUCCGCCGUUCCGGUGUGCACUGGUGGCACCUUCCUUUCUGCCGGGGACGUGCGUCGCACUUAAUUGGGUGGCGUUCGGAGUCGGCGUUGUUACUUUGAAAAAAUUAGAGUGUUCAAAGCAAGCCAUCGCUCUGAAUACAUUAGCAUGGAAUAACAUGAUAGGACUCUGGUCUUAUUUUGUUGGUUUCCGAGACUGGAGUAAUGAUUAAGAGGGACAGUCGGGGGCAUCCGUAUUUCAUUGUCAGAGGUGAAAUUCUUGGAUUUAUGAAAGACGAACUUCUGCGAAAGCAUUUGCCAAGGAUGUUUUCAUUAA
rnacentral:rRNA from 1 species